rnacentral:rRNA from 1 species
AGUGAACGCUGGCGGUAGGCUUAACACAUGCAAGUCGAACGGCAGCACAGUAAGAGCUUGCUCUUACGGGUGGCGAGUGGCGGACGGGUGAGGAAUACAUCGGAAUCUACUUUUUCGUGGGGGAUAACGUAGGGAAACUUACGCUAAUACCGCAUACGACCUACGGGUGAAAGCAUGGGAUCUUCGGACCUUGCGCGAUUGAAUGAGCCGAUGUCGGAUUAGCUAGUUGGGGGGGUAAAGGCCCACCAAGGCGACGAUCCGUAGCUGGUCUGAGAGGAUGGUAGUCCACAGGAGAGGGGGAACGGGGACCAGGAGACUGAGGGAGGGAGGAGUGGGAAAUAUGAGGCAAUGGGCGCAAGCCUGAAACAGCAGUACCGCGCGGGUGAGAAAGGCGUUCGGUUAGUGAAGCCCUUUUGUGAGGAAAAAAAAGAAGUGGGAUGAUACCUGGGUUUCUUGACGGUACACAAGAAAGAAGCCAGGGCUAACUAGGUG